CCCAUAUAACCAAGAAAAUUAAGGAACAAUAAUUGUUGAGUAAUUAUUACUCGUUCUAUUAAUAUACAAGUACUGUGAAACACAUCAUGAAAGUUUCUGCGUUUAUUUUAACACUGUUUAUUAAAAUAAAUUACCAGACCUUAGCAGAAGAAACUAAUGGCACAGUAAAUUUUCACUGCAAUGAAACAAAAUAUUACCCAGCAGAAUUUUGUAAUGGCUACUAUGAGUGCAAAUCAAAUGGGUCUAAAUGGGCUCCAGUUUUAAAAACAUGUUCUAAUAAGGAAAGUUUUAACAUAACAACAAAAAAGUGCACACUCAGUUCUUGUCAAGCACCAUUGGUGUGUGAUAGAUCGGGCAAGUAUCCUGUCACAAUUACUACGAAUGAUUGCAAUAAUAAUUCCUGCAAUAAUUACUACGAAUGCGAAGUAAAUAGUUGGUUUUUCUUUGUGCCUGUUGAAUGGAAAUUGACGUUAAAAACUUGCCCUAACGGACAAUUUUUUACAUCAAAAAUUAACGAAUGUGUACGUUCUACUCCCCCUCCUACUUCUGUUAAUUCUACAACCUUUUUCACUUCUCCUUCUCCCACUAGUAUACACAAUACUCCCUUCUCUCCUUUACUAAACACUACUAUGCUCAAUAUUUCUACAACUCCUCCUUCAACUACUACUGUUAUUUCUAGUUUUGCUGCUACUUCUUCUCCUGCUACUCAAAAACCGAGUGAUGAAUCUACUGAGAAUAAUAAUGAAACAACAAGUGAAUCAACGUCGACAGCUGCUAAUAUAACAAAUAUAAAUAUGAUUUUACUCUUUAGUUCUUUAUACUUACUAGUAAAUAAUGGUAUUUAAUUGUAUUAUUUCUUUAAAAAAGUAAAGUUGGAUUUGGAAGCAUAACUUUGAGUUAAUAAAACAAAUAAAGCAUAAGAAUGGUACUGCACUGCACUGAUAAGGUUGCACAAAAGGAAAAUGAAAAUACUCAUAUAAAUAAAUAUUUAGACUUCCGUUUUACGAUCUUUAUAAGAGAGAGGCCUAGCAAAGUUCUCAGUUUUUCUCAACACCAUGAAGACAAACUUUAUUAUUUUUGCAACAAUAUUUGCCUUGAGCCGUCAACUUUUGGCUCAAGAUGUUAAAAAUGCAACUACUGAAACACCGAAUGAAGAAAGUAAUGUUACUGCAACACUACAAUUAAAAAGUACAGAAAUAACAAAUUUUUCUUCACCAAGUACUGAACAUGUAACAAGCAGUUUAAUAAUCUCGCAUACACCUUCAACAAUUACAAGAAACUCAACAACAAAUUCUUCUGCAUCAAGUAAUGAAAUCGGAACUACUAAUGUAACAACAAUAUCGCAAACAACAAUAACUGCUGCUACAAGUGAAAUUUCAACUGUUUCAAAAAUAAAGAAAGAUGAAGAAAGUAAUGUUACUGCAACACUAGAAUUAAAAAGUACAGAAAUAACAAAUUUUUCUUCACCAAGUAGGGAACAUGUAACUACGAGCAGUUUAAUAAUCUCGCAUACACCUUCAACAAUUACAAGAAACUCAACAACAAAUUCUCCUGCAUCAAGUAAUGAAAUCGGAACUACUAAUGUAACAACAAUAUCGGAAACAACAAUAACAGCUGCUACAAGUGAAAUUUCAACUGUUUCAACUUCAUCAAAUAGUCCUAACGUUACAACUGAAAAAAUUAUUAGUAAUUCUGGAGUUUCCGUCUACUGUAUCGAGCAUUUAAUUUUUGUUGUUGUAAUAUUGUUGUUGUAAAAUUUUUAAUAACCAAAAUAAAUUUUUAAUUACUA